rnacentral:rRNA from 1 species
UACGGAGGGCGCAAGCGUUGUUCGGAAUCACUGGGCGUAAAGCGCGUGUAGGCGGCCGGGCAAGUCGGAUGUGAAAUCCCGAGGCUCAACCUCGGAACUGCAUUCGAAACUGCUCGGCUCGAGUCCCGGAGAGGAUGGCGGAAUUCCCGGUGUAGGGGUGAAAUCCGUAGAUAUCGGGAGGAACACCAGUGGCGAAGGCGGCUCACUGGCCCGGUACUGACGCUGAGGUGGCGAAAAGCGUGGGGAGCAAACA